AAAAUAUUAGUGUCUCUCCUCCUUGCCAGCGCGUUCACCCGACUCUCCCCUGUGUAAUGAAGCUUGAUCCACAUUUCGCUUAACUGCCACUUUAAUAUCUCAGAUCGGUUACCGACCACGCUAUGACUCUUAACCUUAAUGUAGGGUUAUGGGCUGAAACCUGAUCCGGGGUCGGCAAUUAGCGUGAUCACAUACUGCCAGUAAUUGGUCCGGUAUGCUAAUGCGGCGUGUGUCUUUUUCUGCCUCCACACACAUAAAGGUGAGAGCGGCUCGAGUUGAGUUCUGCUGCAGAUCCGAUCAGCUCUCUCUGGCCUGCAGGUCACUUUAAUCAUCCGCUAGCCUGUUUGUCCUUUAUGUAAAUAGGGUUUGUUCGGCGUCUGAGGAGAAUGGGAUGGCACGUGUGAAACAGGGUGAUGGUGCUUUAUUCUGCACUCCACUUCCAAUUGGCAAGGAUACACCGAAGAUCUCCUAUCAAAACAAAAACAAAGAAACCGUCAAACUUGCCAGAGGGAUCACUAUUGCACUCUGUCCCAGUUCCACCAAAGGAUUUUGACACGAUUUCAAGGAAAUAAUAACACAGCACGAGCCACCUUGGAGAUUGGCAGAUGGACCAGCCUGAGCCACCGGCAUGGGUGGAGGUCGAUGUGGAUUUGGGUUUUGCCCUCUUCUUUCUUUUUCUCCUCUGCCUGUUCUUGUUUGGCACCAUCGUGCGUUGUGCUCAAACCGUUGUGGAUCCGUACGGAGCAAUUUCCACCUCCACCUAUCAGGAGGAGCAGAUUAACAAUAACUGACAUCUGAUCUCGCCAGUCCAACGUAUAACUGGAUGAAACACAAAAGGAUUUUAUAAAAACUCGAUGCAUUAUGCAGUGACGAACAAUUGGCAGAUGACUUACAUUCAUCGCAAGUCAUUUUAAACAGGAAAUGAUGUCUGUGUUAUGCCAGAAAUUAAUACAAUGCUAAUAAAGUUGUUAUAGAGG